CAAUAGCGUAUAUUAAAGUUGUUGCAGUUAAAAAGCUCGUAGUUGGAUUUCUGGGAGGGUGCUAAUGUCCGCCGUAGCGCGUGUGCAGCCGCGCCCUUCCAUCCUUCUGUUAACGCCUCUUGGCAUUCAUUUGCUGGUGGCGGGCUCAGAUAUUUUACCUUGAGAAAAUUAGAGUGUUUCAGGCAGGCUAGGCCGGAAUAUAUUAGCAUGGAAUAAUGGAAUAGGACUAUGGUCUCUUUGUUGGUUUGAGGGACUGCAGUAAUGAUUAAUAGGGAUAGUUGGGGGCAUUCAUAUUUAAUUGUCAGAGGUGAAAUUCUUGGAUUUAUGAAAGAUGAACUUCUGCGAAAGCAUUUGCCAAGGAUGUUUUCAUUAAUCAAGAACGAAAGUUAGGGGAUCAAAGACGAUUAGAUACCAU
rnacentral:rRNA from 1 species